AGUGAACGCUGGCGGUAGGCCUAACACAUGCAAGUCGAACGGCAGCACAGGAGAGCUUGCUCUCUGGGUGGCGAGUGGCGGACGGGUGAGGAAUACAUCGGAAUCUACUUUUUCGUGGGGGAUAACGUAGGGAAACUUACGCUAAUACCGCAUACGACCUACGGGUGAAAGCAGGGGAUCAUCGGACCUUGCGCGAUUGAAUGAGCCGAUGUCGGAUUAGCUAGUUGGCGGGGUAAAGGCCCACCAAGGCGACGAUCCGUAGCUGGUCUGAGAGGAUGAUCAGCCACACUGGAGCUGAGACACGGUCCAGACUCCUACGGGAGGCAGCAGUGGGGAAUAUUGGACAAUGGGCGCAAGCCUGAUCCAGCCAUACCGCGUGGGUGAAGAAGGCCUUCGGGUUGUAAAGCCCUUUUGUUGGGAAAGAAAUCCAGCUGGUUAAUACCCGGUUGGGAUGACGGUACCCAAAGAAUAAGCACCGGCUAACUUCGUGCCAGCAGCCGCCGUAA
rnacentral:rRNA from 1 species